rnacentral:lncRNA from 1 species
CGUUAAAAUCAGAAGACCAUUUAUAGAAUAAGGGACAGAUAAUUGCCCUUUUAAGAUGAUGUAUAUAGAAGACCCUUAGCAUUUGAAGAAUUAAAUUUGUGACUGCUGUGCAUUUAGACUGUGACCUCAUGAUCUAUGAUCUUUUAUCUGUUGAGACCUAAAUUUGAACCUUGAGUACUUCCAGCCUGGCACAUAGAAACAAGUGUCUUAGCUCUAAGUGACUACUAUGUAUCAUCUACUCAAUUGUGCUUGGCUGUUUUACUACACUAGUUAGGUUAAUGCUCCCCAAUGAUUAAAAACCAUAUUUUCUUUUCCAGGGAGAAAAAAAAGGCAAGUUUCAACUAGAAAGCUUAUUCUUGGGUGUGAGGGAUGGAAGCCAGCUCAGAAAGUUACGGCAUUUUUGAAUAUGAAUGUUCAUCAGAGUUCUAGGAAACAGCUAUUAUAAAUAGAAAUGUCUGCACCAUUUACUGAGACCUCUGCACUUAGUACUGAGUGGAGGAGAAGAGGCCACACCAAGGAAGCUUAAGUUCAGAGAAACUUGGCCUAAGCAUACAUGAAGAGGUUUGAGCUGAAGGAUUUAGCUAUGUCCAGGAAACAUUUGUGCCAGCAGAGAUUAUUUUUGGAGAAAGAACAGACCAAGGCAGUGAAGCAGCAGUGAGGACUUUUGCAUGAGAUGGUCAUCACUCAAACACAGUGCCCAGAUACUGCAAGAGAGGAGUGGAUAUGACCCAAAGAAGUGAUGUGAGUACACAAGACAGAUUUUGGGAUAGGAGAGAGGGAAGUGUCAAGGCCUCUCUGGCAUGGGUAACCAGGUGAAUGGAUGGUGCUAAUCACUGCGGCAGGGAAUUGAGAGAGUAGAGCAGAUUUGGGUGAGAAUAGCCUAAUCCCCAUGCAGGACUACCCCCAGAGAGCUGGGAACAAUCAUGCAAUUGCAUAACCUCCGAACUCUUGAUAAAAAGAUAAAACUUUGUAUUCACUUGUGUCAAAUCCACAUCAUUGCUGAAAGGAAAGUUAGACAAUAAAUAUUUGUUAAAGUACUGUUGUGUGUAUUGC